rnacentral:tRNA from 1 species
UUCUGGGUAGUACAAAUGGUUGACACACUUGUCUGAUAACCAAAAGGCUGGUGGUUCGAGUCCACCCAGAAG